rnacentral:rRNA from 1 species
AUUGAACGCUGGCGGCAUGCUUUACACAUGCAAGUCGAACGGCAGCGCGGGCUUCGGCCUGGCGGCGAGUGGCGAACGGGUGAGUAAUGCAUCGGAACGUGCCCAGUAGUGAGGGAUAGCCCGGCGAAAGCCGGAUUAAUACCGCAUACGACCUGAGGGUGAAAGCGGGGGACCGAAAGGCCUCGCGCUAUUGGAGCGGCCGAUGUCGGAUUAGCUAGUUGGUGGGGUAAAGGCUUACCAAGGCGACGAUCCGUAGCUGGUCUGAGAGGACGACCAGCCACACUGGGACUGAGACACGGCCCAGACUCCUACGGGAGGCAGCAGUGGGGAAUUUUGGACAAUGGGGGCAACCCUGAUCCAGCCAUGCCGCGUGCGGGAAGAAGGCCUUCGGGUUGUAAACCGCUUUUGUUCGGGAAGAAAUCCUCUGGGCCAAUACCCCGGGGGGAUGACGGUACCGGAAGAAUAAGCACCGGCUAACUACGUG